CCAGUCCAGCUCCCACCAAACCUCAUGGCAAAAAACCAAUUAACUUCAAUGGGAGCAGGAUCUGGCACCAAGUGCUUUAAACUGUUGGCUGGAAUAAUCACAGACAGAUGGAAACAACAAUGCACUGCAAUGCUUAGCCUACCCCUUGCUUCCCAUUAUUCCUAAUUGGCAUCUUGAAAGAGCAGGGAAUAGACAAUGCAAGCAAGCAAUGAAAGAAAUGCAGAUCAAAAUGAAACAUGCAUGUUUAGGAAAGAAUUAAUAUAAACUACAGAUAUUAGAAGGAGAAGCCAAGGGAAUGACAUGAGGAGCUACUAAACCUACUGGCCUUGCUCUUCAAAUUCUGUUUUGGAUAAUAAUACAUGCUCCAGUCCUGAAUGCAGGACUUUUCUAACACAGAGCUGGUUUAAAGGUGACAUUCAAGGAGUAUCUUGAUUCAACAGUUCAGAUGAGAUGCUAGGAACAGAUUCCUUUUCAGCCUCGUAAUCUUCCUGCUUUAACAAUAAACUUGGAUUUAUUUUAUACUA